rnacentral:tRNA from 1 species
GCGGGUAUGGUUUAGUGGCAGAACGCGACCUUCCCAAGGUUGAGGCCCGGAUUCGAUUCCCGGUACCCGCA